rnacentral:rRNA from 1 species
GCACGAGGCCUUUACUGACGCUAAAGCUCGAAGGUGCGGGUAUCGAACAGGAUUAGAUACCCUGGUAGUCCGCACGGUAAACGAUGGAUGCCCGCUGUUUGCGAUACACUGUGAGCGGCCAAGCGAAAGCGUUAAGCAUCCCACCUGGGGAGUACGCCGGCAACGGUGAAACUCAAAGGAAUUGACGGGGGCCCGCACGAGCGGAGGAACAUGUGGUUUAAUUCGAUGAUACGCGAGGAACCUUACCCGGGCUUGAACUGCCGGCGAACGAUACAGAGAUGUUGAGGCCCUUCGGGGCGCCGGCGGAGGUGCUGCAUGGUUGUCGUCAGCUCGUGCCGUGAGGUGUCGGCUUAAGUGCCAUAACGAGCGCAACCCCUCUCCGUAGUUGCCAUCGGGUGAUGCCGGGCACUCUGCGGACACUGCCACCGUAAGGUGUGAGGAAGGUGGGGAUGACGUCAAAUCAGCACGGCCCUUACGUCCGGGGCUACACACGUGUUACAAUGGGUGGUACAGAGGGCAGGCGUCCGGCAACGUCCGUCUAAUCCCGAAAGCCAUCCUCAGUUCGGACUGGGGUCUGCAACCCGACCCCACGAGGCUGGAU